GCGGGCGUAGUUCAAUGGUAGAAUACCAGCUUCCCAAGCUGAAUACGCGGGUUCGAUUCCCGUCGCCCGCUCCA
rnacentral:tRNA from 1 species